rnacentral:rRNA from 1 species
AAUGAACGCUGGCGGCGUGCUUAACACAUGCAAGUCGAGCGAGAAAGUCCCUUCGGGGGCGAGUACAGCGGCGGACGGGUGAGUAACACGUGAGAACCUACCCUAAAGUGAAGGAUACCCUCGGGAAACUGAGGUUAAUACUGCAUACGUCCCUUCGGGGAGAAAGGUGGCUUUUAUGCUGCCGCUUAAGGAUGGGCUCGCGGGCUAUUAGCUUGUUGGUGGGGUAAUGGCCUACCAAGGCGAUGAUGGCUAGCCGGCCUGAGAGGGUGAACGGCCACACUGGAACUGAGAUACGGUCCAGACUCCUACGGGAGGCAGCAGUGAGGAAUAUUGCGCAAUGGGCGAAAGCCUGACGCAGCGACGCCGCGUGGGGGAUGAAGGUCUUAGGAUUGUAAACUCCUGUUAAGUGAGAAGAAAGAACCAUCUCUAAUAUAGAUGGGUGAUGACGUUAUCACUAAAGAAAGCACCGGCUAACUUCG